rnacentral:autocatalytically_spliced_intron from 1 species
AGAUCCUGAUUAUUGGAGGUUUUUUAUCAGAGCGAAAUCAUAUAAAGACUUUGCUACGAUUAUUGACUCCAAUCAUCCGGAAAAACUUUCAAUAUUGCGGAUGAAGAUAUAGUCCAUGCCCCCGCG